rnacentral:rRNA from 1 species
UACGUAGGGACCAAGCGUUGUUCGGAUUUACUGGGCGUAAAGGGCGCGUAGGCGGCGCGGUAAGUCACUUGUGAAAUCUCUGAGCUUAACUCAGAACGGCCAAGUGAUACUGCAGUGCUAGAGUGUGGAAGGGGCAAUCGGAAUUCUUGGUGUAGCGGUGAAAUGCGUAGAUAUUAAGAGGAACACCUGAGGUGAAGACGGGUUGCUGGGCCAACACGUGACGCUGAGGCGCGAAAGCCAGGGGAGCAAACGGG